GCGGAGGAAAAGAAACCAACAGGGAUUGCCUCAGUAACGGCGAGUGAAGCGGCAACAGCUCAAAUUUGAAAUCUGGUCCCCUCUGGGGGCCCGAGUUGUAAUUUGAAGAGGAUGCUUUUGGCGAGGCGCCUUCCGAGUGCCCUGGAACGGGACGCCACAGAGGGUGAGAGCCCCGUAUGGUAGGACGCCGAGCCUCUGUAAAGCUCCUUCGACGAGUCGAGUAGUUUGGGAAUGCUGCUCAAAAUGGGAGGUAAACCCCUUCUAAAGCUAAAUAUUGGCCAGAGACCGAUAGCGCACAAGUAGAGUGAUCGAAAGAUGAAAAGCACUUUGAAAAGAGAGUUAAACAGCACGUGAAAUUGUUGAAAGGGAAGCGCUUGCGACCAGACUUGCGCCCGUCGGAUCAACCGUCCCUCGUGGGCGGCGCACUCCGGCGGGCUCAGGCCAGCAUCAGUUUUCCUGGGGGUAGAAAGGCGGUGGGAAUGUAGCUCUUCGGAGUGUUAUAGCCCGCCGCGUAAUGCCCUCGGGGGGACUGAGGACCGCGCGUAUGCAAGGAUGCUGGCGUAAUGGUCGUCAGCGACCCGUCUUGAAACACGGACCAAGGAGUCGUCCUAAUAUGCGAGUGUACGGGUGUAAAACCCCUGCGCGUAAUGAAAGUGAACGGAGGUGAGAGCUUCGGCGCAUCAUCGACCGAUCCUGAUGUUCUCGGAUGGAUUUGAGUAAGAGCAUAUUGGGCCGGACCCGAAAGAAGGUGAACUAUGCCUGUAUAGGGUGAAGCCAGAGGAAACUCUGGUGGAGGCUCGCAGCGGUUCUGACGUGCAAAUCGAUCGUCAAAUAUGGGCAUGGGGGCGAAA
rnacentral:sRNA from 1 species